rnacentral:rRNA from 1 species
CACGUAGGGGGCGAGCGUUGUCCGGAUUUAUUGGGCGUAAAGAGCUCGUAGGCGGUUCGGCAAGUCGGGGGUGAAAUUUCGAGGCUCAACCUCGAAACGCCACUCGAUACUGCUGUGACUGGAGUCCGGUAGAGGAGUGCGGAAUUCCUGGUGUAGCAGUGAAAUGCGCAGAUAUCAGGAGGAACACCAACGGCGAAGGCAGCACUCUGGGCCGGUACUGACGCUGAGGAGCGAAAGCUAGGGGAGCAAACGGG